rnacentral:rRNA from 1 species
AACGAACGCUGGCGGUAUGCUUAACACAUGCAAGUCGAACGAACAAAAUUGGGGCUUGCUCCAAUUUUAGUGAGUGGCAAACGGGUGAGUAACACGUGGGAAUCUACCUAUCAGUACGGAAUAACAUUUGGAAACAGAUGCUAAUACCGUAUAUUCUCCAAGGAGGAAAGAUUUAUCGCUGAUAGAUGAGCCCGCGCAAGAUUAGGUAGUUGGUAGGGUAAUGGCCUACCACGCCUACGAUCUUUAGCUGGUCUGAGAGGAUGAACAGCCACACUGGGACUGAGACACGGCCCAGACUCCUACGGGAGGCAGCAGUGGGGAAUAUUGGACAAUGGGCGAAAGCCUGAUCCAGCAAUACCGCGUGAAUGAUGAAGGCCUUAGGGUUGUAAGGUUCUUUUAGUUGGAAAGAUAAUGACGGUACCAACAGAAAAAGCCCCGGCUAACUCCGUGCCAGCCGCCGCAGUAA